rnacentral:lncRNA from 1 species
AGGCCAGUCUUUAGGGGUGUCAGCCUGAAGAGUCAUGACCAACCAGUUCUGAAGAAGUCAAGGGCUCUGCCUGUGGCACUGAUCCAAGGGUGACUCAGAGGGAAGAUUGCCAUCCACCCAGUCACAAACAAUCCUUUUCGAAGCUCUGGUGGAUUUGCUUUGAAGGACUCUUGUCUUAGUAUUGACCAAGGCCUUGCUCAGCUUAUGAGAUUUGACAAGAACACAGGCCAGAGUGGGAUGGCUUCAUGAUUAAGUUCCUUCAUCUAUAAAAUGCAUAUGCAAAUAGGACCGACCUAUUGGGAUUAUUGUCAGGAUCAGAAGGGAUAACAUAUGGAGUAUAUGUCAUGCUUUAAAAUGACAUAUAAAUCUUAGAAGAAUAUGGUGAUAAACAUCUAACAAGCAUAAGGAGGAAAGAGAUCUAUGGAUGGAGGAUCAGAGAUCCAGGGCAAUGGCUGACAGCUCAAUUAAAUUCUUGCCACUCUUCAGUUUCCAAUAAAUUUUUAAUUUGUCUCUCCAUGAACCCUUACUGUUUAUAU